CCCAGACUCCUACGGGAGGCAGCAGUGGGGAAUAUUGGACAAUGGGGGGAACCCUGAUCCAGCGACGCCGCGUGAGUGAAGAAGUAUUUCGGUAUGUAAAGCUCUAUCAGCAGGGAAGAAAGAAAUGACGGUACCUGACUAAGAAGCCCCGGCUAACUACGUGCCAGCAGCCGCGGUAAUACGUAGGUGGCGAGCGUUAUCCGGAUUUAUUGGGCGUAAAGCGUCCGCAGCCGGUUUAUUAAGUAUAGAAUAAAACUUCGGGGCUCAACCCCGUCUCGUUCUAUAAACUGAUAGACUAGAGUGUGGUAGAGGCAAGUGGAAUUUCUAGUGUAGCGGUAGAAUGCGUAGAUAUUAGAAGGAACACCAGUGGCGAAGGCGACUUGCUGGGCCAUCACUGACGGUCAGGGACGAAAGCGUGGGGAGCGAAUAGGAUUAGAUACCCUGGUACA
rnacentral:rRNA from 1 species